CAGCACCCGCGGUAAUACGGGGGGUGCAAGCGUUAAUCGGAAUCACUGGGCGUAAAGGGUGCGUAGGCGGUGCAUUAGGUCUGUCGUGAAAUCCCCGGGCUCAACCUGGGAAUGGCGGUGGAAACCGGUGUACUAGAGUAUGGGAGAGGGUGGUGGAAUUCCAGGUGUAGCGGUGAAAUGCGUAGAGAUCUGGAGGAACAUCAGUGGCGAAGGCGGCCACCUGGCCCAAUACUGACGCUGAGGCACGAAAGCGUGGGGAGCAAACAGGAUUAGAUACCCUGGUAGUCCACGCCCUAAACGAUGAAUACUAGAUGUUUGGUGCCAAGCGUACUGAGUGUCGUAGCUAACGCAAUAAGUAGACUGUCUCUGA
rnacentral:rRNA from 1 species